CCUACGGGUGGCAGCAGUGGGGAAUAUUGGACAAUGGGCGAAAGCCUGAUCCAGCCAUGCCGCGUGUGUGAAGAAGGCCUUCGGGUUGUAAAGCACUUUCAGUGGGGAAGAAAGCCUUGGGGCUAAUACCCUCGAGGAAGGACAUCACCCACAGAAGAAGCACCGGCUAACUCCGUGCCAGCAGCCGCGGUAAUACGGAGGGUGCGAGCGUUAAUCGGAAUUACUGGGCGUAAAGCGCGCGUAGGCGGUCUGAUAAGCCGGUUGUGAAAGCCCCGGGCUCAACCUGGGAACGGCAUCCGGAACUGUCAGGCUAGAGUGCAGGAGAGGAAGGUAGAAUUCCCGGUGUAGCGGUGAAAUGCGUAGAGAUCGGGAGGAAUACCAGUGGCGAAGGCGGCCUUCUGGACUGUCACUGACGCUGAGGUGCGAAAGCGUGGGUAGCAAACAGGAUUAGAUACCCCAGUAGUC
rnacentral:rRNA from 1 species